GGAACAAGUAAUUCAGUUGAUCGCCAGUGAUAAACUUACAGUUCCAUCUGAAGAAAAAGUAUUUGAAAGUGUUAUUCGUUGGGUGAAAUAUGAAUCGGGUUCAAGAAAGCUUAUUUUACCUGAAUUAAUGGAACACGUUCGUUUGCCAUUAACAUCAAAGGAUUUCUUAUUAAAAAAGUAGCCGUAGAACCUCUUAUUAAGAAUUGUGUCAAAUGUAAAGAAUACAUCGACGAGGUAUUAAAUUUUCAUAGACAGAAGUCAAAAGACCUGAUUCCACAUAAUAUCCGGAAUAAUCCUAGACAUGGAGAUAAAGUUAUCUAAUUAGUUGUUAGUAGGUUUGAUACUAACAAAUUGAUCAGUACAAAAUUUUAUGAAAUAAAAAUAAGCCGAUGGCAUUAUGGACCUGAAAUGAUAACAAACCGUAAAAAUGCUGGUCUAGCCGUAGUGAAAGAUAAUUUAGUGUUUGCUGUGGGUGGUUCUACUGAUAUGUUUCAUCAACUUUCGGUCUGUUGAUGUGCUUGAUUUAUCUGCAGAGUCACCUUGUUGGAGAUCAAGUGUU